rnacentral:RNase_P_RNA from 1 species
GCAGAAAGCCGCUCCAUCGCUCUUGUGCAAGCAAGAGAGGAAAGUCCGGACAGCACAGGGCAUCCUGCUACCUAACAGGUAGGAUCCCGAAAGGGAGACAGCAAGUGCAACAGAGAGCAGACCGCCCCGGCUUGCCGGGGUAAGGGUGAAAGGGUGGGGUAAGAGCCCACCGGUUCUGGUGGCGACAUCAGAAGCCAGGUAAACCUCAGGAGCUGAAAGGCCAAAUAUACCGGCGUUUGAGGGCUGCCCGCCUGAUGCCGGAGGGUAGGCCGCUAGAGGCUGUGGGUGACUGCAGUCCCAGAUAAAUGAUGGAGGCCCCGGCUUGCCGGGGUACAGAAUCCGGCUUAUACGCUUUCUGCCCGA